GUGCUCGCUUAGGCAGCACACAUACUAAAAUUGGAACAAUACAGAGAUUAGCAUGGCCCCUGUGCAAGGAUGGCAUGCAAAUUCGUGAAGCAUUCCAUAUUUAA